UACGGAGGGUGCGAGCGUUGUCCGGAAUCACUGGGCGUAAAGGGCGCGUAGGCGGCCGUGCAAGCGUGGGGUGAAAGUCCGGGGCUCAACCCCCGGAUCGGCCUCGCGAACUGCAGGGCUCGAGCACUGUAGAGGCGGGUGGAAUUCCGGGGUGUAGCGGUGGAAUGCGUAGAGAUCCGGAAGAACACCGGUGGCGAAGGCGGCCCGCUGGGCAGUGGCUGACGCUGAGGCGCGACAGCGUGGGGAGCAAACAGG
rnacentral:rRNA from 1 species